GGAUAGCUCAGUUGGUAGAGUGUGAGACUCUUAAUCUCAGGAUUGUGAGGUUGAGCUCCAUGUUGGGCA